GAUGAACGCUGGCGGCGUGCCUAAUACAUGCAAGUCGAGCGAACAGACGAGGAGCUUGCUCCUCUGACGUUAGCGGCGGACGGGUGAGUCACACGUGGAUAACCUACCUAUAAGACUGGGAUAACUUCGGGAAACCGGAGCUAAUACCGGAUAAUAUAUUGAACCGCAUUGUUCAAUAGUGAAAGACGGUUUUGCUGUCACUUAUAGAUUGAUCCGCGCCGCAUUAGCUAGUUGGUAAGGUAACGGCUUACCCAGGCAACGAUGCGUAGCCGACCUGAGAGGGUGAUCGGCCACACUGGAACUGAGACACGGUCCAGACUCCUACGGGAGGCAGCAGUAGGGAAUCUUCCGCAAUGGGCGAAAGCCUGACGGAGCAACGCCGCGUGAGUGAUGAAGGUCUUCGGAUCGUAAAACUCUGUUAUUAGGGAAGAACAAAUGUGUAAGUAACUAUGCACGUCUUGACGGUACCUAAUCAGAAAGCCACGGCUAACUACGUG
rnacentral:rRNA from 1 species